rnacentral:rRNA from 1 species
CCUACGGGUGGCAGCAGUGGGGAAUAUUGCACAAUGGGGGAAACCCUGAUGCAGCGACGCCGCGUGAAGGAAGAAGUAUUUCGGUAUGUAAACUUCUAUCAGCAGGGAAGAAAAUGACGGUACCUGACUAAGAAGCCCCGGCUAACUACGUGCCAGCAGCCGCGGUAAUACGUAGGGGGCAAGCGUUAUCCGGAUUUACUGGGUGUAAAGGGAGCGUAGGCGGCGAUGCAAGUCAGAGGUGAAAGCCCGGGGCUCAACUCCGGGACUGCUUUUGAAACUGUGUUGCUAGAUUGCAGGAGAGGUAAGUGGAUUUCCUGGUGUAGCGGUGAAAUGCGUAGAUAUUAGGAGGAACACCAGUGGCGAGGGCGGCUUACUGGACUGUAACUGACGCUGAGGCUCGAAGGCGUGGGGCGCAAACGGACUUGACUACCCCGUAGUC